UCCGUAGGUGAACCUGCGGAGGGAUCAUUACACAAAUAUGAAGGCGGGCUGGAACCUCUCGGGGUUACAGCCUUGCUGAAUUAUUCACCCUUGUCUUUUGCGUACUUCUUGUUUCCUUGGUGGGUUCGCCCACCACUAGGACAAACAUAAACCUUUUGUAAUUGCAAUCAGCGUCAGUAACAAAUUAAUAAUUACAACUUUCAACAACGGAUCUCUUGGUUCUGGCAUCGAUGAAGAACGCAGCGAAAUGCGAUAAGUAGUGUGAAUUGCAGAAUUCAGUGAAUCAUCGAAUCUUUGAACGCACAUUGCGCCCUUUGGUAUUCCAAAGGGCAUGCCUGUUCGAGCGUCAUUUGUACCCUCAAGCUUUGCUUGGUGUUGGGCGUCUUGUCUCUAGCUUUGCUGGAGACUCGCCUUAAAGUAAUUGGCAGCCGGCCUACUGGUUUCGGAGCGCAGCACAAGUCGCACUCUCUAUCAGCAAAGGUCUAGCAUCCAUUAAGCCUUUUUUUCAACUUUUGACCUCGGAUCAGGUAGGGAUACCCGCUGAACUUAAGCAUAUUCAAUAAGCGGAGGA
rnacentral:rRNA from 1 species